rnacentral:rRNA from 1 species
GAUGAACGCUAGCGGCAGGCUUAACACAUGCAAGUCGAGGGGUAACAGGAGUGCUUGCACUCGCUGACGACCGGCGCACGGGUGCGUAACGCGUAUAGAACCUACCUUUUACAGGAGAAUAGCCUUUAGAAAUGAAGAUUAAUGCUCCAUAGUAUUGAGUAAUCGCAUGAUUAUUUAAUUAAAGAUUUAUCGGUAAAAGAUGGCUAUGCGUCCUAUUAGUUAGAUGGUAAGGUAACGGCUUACCAUGACAUCGAUAGGUAGGGGUCCUGAGAGGGAGAUCCCCCACACUGGUACUGAGACACGGACCAG